GUCAGUUGUACUGGAAGAUGAUAAAUAAAUUCGUUGCUUUCCUUUUUCCCCUAGCUCCUUCGAGAACUCAUAGAACGGAAGACCAGCUCCUUGGAUCCCAACGAUCAGGUGGCCAUGGGAAGGCAGUGGCUUGCAAUCCAGAAGUUACGAAGCAAAAUCCACAAAAAAGUAGAUAGGAAAGCCAGCAAAGGCAGGAAACUUCGGACAGAACUGUACCGCUCUCUUUUUGGCCAGCUCCACCCUCCCAACGAAGGCCACGGGGAUUGACAUCGCCCACCUCCGACACCCAGUGGGCGCCUUGGCUGGUGCGGCUGCUGGUCCAGAUGGAGGAAACCAGUGACUUUAUGGGGCUGAGCUAGUAGGGAAGCCCCUGGGAAGGUGCUGCGUUCCGAACCUGUGCCUAAUACAUGCAAGGGCGCUGCCCCGCCCAACACCGCCUUUAAACGCCACAAAUAAAGAGCAUUGUUACCGCCA
rnacentral:sRNA from 1 species